rnacentral:rRNA from 1 species
AGCGAACGCUGGCGGCAGGCCUAACACAUGCAAGUCGAACGGAUCCUUCGGGAUUAGUGGCGGACGGGUGAGUAACACGUGGGAACGUGCCCUUUGGUUCGGAACAACUCAGGGAAACUUGAGCUAAUACCGGAUGUGCCCUUCGGGGGAAAGAUUUAUCGCCAUUGGAGCGGCCCGCGUCUGAUUAGCUAGUUGGUGAGGUAAAGGCUCACCAAGGCGACGAUCAGUAGCUGGUCUGAGAGGAUGACCAGCCACAUUGGGACUGGGACACGGCCCAAACUCCUACGGGAGGCAGCAGUGGGGAAUCUUGCGCAAUGGGCGAAAGCCUGACGCAGCCAUGCCGCGUGAAUGAUGAAGGUCUUAGGAUUGUAAAAUUCUUUCACCGGUGACGAUAAUGACGGUACCCGGAGAAGAAGCCCCGGCUAACUUCGUGCCAGCAGCCGCGGUAAAAC